GGGCCAUUAGCUCAGUUGGCAGAGCACUUGACUUUUAAUCAAGGCGUCCGGAGUUCGAAUCUCCGAUGGCUCA
rnacentral:tRNA from 1 species